UCCAGCGAGUAUUUGAGAUGAACAUGAUGAGGACAUCCGCGGCUUCAACGAAAAAAUUCGAGAAAAAUAAAAGAAGAAAUCCGGUGCUCGUCGUGGCCAACCUUAAAGGAAAGGAGAGGGGGUUUUUAUAGGGUGGAGGGGAGGUCGAAUUCCCCUCGGAUUCAGCUUCUCUUCCGAUGUAUUUGAGCAGAAGAAGACUCCCAGCAGGACUCUUCUUCGUUUGCCUCUCCUGUUUUUUUUUUGUAUGGGCUGUGGGCUGAUUCUGGGCCCAAUUGGGCCGGAUGUUACAUUCUCUCCUCCUUCAAAUAAUUUCAUCCUCGAAAUUAAGUUAUGUCGUUUGAGAUACAUAUUUCAAAGUAUACAUUUUUCAUGUCAUUCUCAAGCUUACGAU
rnacentral:lncRNA from 1 species